rnacentral:rRNA from 1 species
CGACGGUAACAUAUAUACUAGCUAUGCUAGAAGAUAGACGAGUGGCGGACGGGUGAGUAAUAGCUAUAGGGAACUAUAGCCUAUAUGCGAGGGGGAUAACAGUUGGAAACGACUGCUAAUACCGCAUAAUGUCUUCGGACCAAACGGGGCUUCGGCUCCGGCGCAAAGAGAGGCCCAAGUGAGAUUAGCUAGUUGGUAAGGUAACGGCUUACCAAGGCGACGAUCUCUAGCUGUUCUGAGAGGAAGAUCAGCCACACUGGGACUGAGACACGGCCCAGACUCCUACGGGAGGCAGCAGUGGGGAAUAUUGCACAAUGGGGGAAACCCUGAUGCAGCCAUGCCGCGUGUGUGAAGAAGGCCUUCGGGUUGUAAAGCACUUUCAGUUGUGAGGAAAAGUUAGUAGUUAAUACCUGCUAGCCGUGACGUUAACAACAGAAGAAGCACCGGCUAACUCCGUGCCAGCAGCCGCGGUAAUACGGAGGGUGCGAGCGUUAAUCGGAAAUACUGGGCGUAAAGCGCACGCAGGCGGUUUGUUAAGCUAGAUGUGAAAGCCCCGGGCUCAACCUGGGAUGGUCAUAUAGAACUGGCAGACUAGAGUCUUGGAGAGGGGAGUGGAAUUACCAGGUGUAGCGGUGAAAUGCGUAGAUAUCUGGAGGAACAUCAGUGGCGAAAGGCGACUCCCUGGCCAAAGACUGACGCUCAUGUGCGAAAGUGUGGGUAGCGAACAGGAUUAGAUACCCUGGUAGUCCACACCGUAAACGCUGUCUACU